rnacentral:rRNA from 1 species
UACAGAGGGGGCAAGCGUUAUUCGGAAUUACUGGGCGUAAAGGGCGCGUAGGCGGCCUUCUAAGUCAGACGUGAAAUCCCCCGGCUUAACCUGGGAACUGCGUCUGAUACUGGGAGGCUUGAGUAUGGGAGAGGGAUGUAGAAUUCCAGGUGUAGCGGUGAAAUGCGUAGAUAUCUGGAGGAAUACCGGUGGCGAAGGCGGCAUCCUGGACCAUAACUGACGCUGAGGCGCGAAAGCUAGGGGAGCAAACGGGG